AGAGUUUGAUCAUGGCUCAGGAUAAACGCUGGCGGCGCGCAUAAGACAUGCAAGUCGAACGAACUUAACUCAUUCUUUUAGUUUGAGAGCGGUUAGUGGCGGACUGGUGAGUAAUGCGUAAGCAACCUGCCUAUUAGAGGGGAAUAACAGUGAGAAAUCAUUGCUAAUACCGCAUAUGCUAACAAUAUCGCAUGAUAUGGUUAGGAAAGGAGUAAUCCGCUAAUAGAUGGGCUUACGUCUGAUUAGCUAGUUGGUGGGGUAACGGCCUACCAAGGCGACGAUCAGUAGCCGGACUGAGAGGUUGAACGGCCACAUUGGGACUGAGAUACGGCCCAGACUCCUACGGGAGGCAGCAGUCGGGAAUAUUGCGCAAUGGAGGAAACUCUGACGCAGUGACGCCGCGUAUAGGAAGAAGGUUUUCGGAUUGUAAACUAUUGUCGUUAGGGAAGAUACAAGACAGUACCUAAGGAGGAAGCCCCGGCUAACUAUGUGCCAGCAGCCGCGGUAAUACAUAGGGGGCAAGCGUUAUCCGGAAUUAUUGGGUGUAAAGGGUGCGUAGACGGAGGAGCAAGUUGGUUGUGAAAUCCCUCGGCUUAACUGAGGAACUGCAACCAAAACUACUUCCCUUGAGUGUCGGAGAGGAAAGUGGAAUUCCUAGUGUAGCGGUGAAAUGCGUAGAUAUUAGGAGGAACACCAGUGGCGAACGCGACUUUCUGGACGAUAACUGACGUUGAGGCACGAAAGUGUGGGGAGCAAACAGGAUUAGAUACCCUGGUAGUCCACACCGUAACGAUGGAUAC
rnacentral:rRNA from 1 species